rnacentral:rRNA from 1 species
CUAAGCCAUGCGAGUCAAGGGAGUGUCCCUCUGGGACACCACCGGCGGACGGCUCAGUAACACGUCGGUAACCUACCCUCGGGAGGGGGAUAACCCCGGGAAACUGGGGCUAAUCCCCCAUAGGCCUGAGGUACUGGAAGGUCCUCAGGCCGAAAGGGGCUUUUGCCCGCCCGAGGAUGGGCCGGCGGCCGAUUAGGUAGUUGGUGGGGUAACGGCCCACCAAGCCGAAGAUCGGUACGGGCUGUGAGAGCAGGAGCCCGGAGAUGGACACUGAGACACGGGUCCAGGCCCUACGGGGCGCAGCAGGCGCGAAACCUCCGCAAUGCGGGAAACCGCGACGGGGGGACCCCGAGUGCCGUGGCACCGCCACGGCUUUUCCGGAGUGUAAAAAGCUCCGGGAAUAAGGGCUGGGCAAGGCCGGUGGCAGCCGCCGCGGUAAUACCGACGGCCCGAGUGGUGGCCGCUAUUAUUGGGCCUAAAGCGUCCGUAGCCGGGCCCGUAAGUCCCUGGCGAAAUCCCACGGCUCAACCGUGGGGCUUGCUGGGGAUACUGCGGGCCUUGGGACCGGGAGAGGCGGGGGGUACCCCUGGGGUAGGGGUGAAAUCCUAUAAUCCCA